UACGUAGGGUGCGAGCGUUAAUCGGAAUUACUGGGCGUAAAGCGUGCGCAGGCGGUUCGCUGUGUCCUGUGUGAAAGCCCCGGGCUUAACCUGGGAAUGGCAUGGGAAACUGGCGGGCUGGAGUGUGGCAGAGGGGGGUGGAAUUCCGCGUGUAGCAGUGAAAUGCGUAGAGAUGCGGAGGAACACCGAUGGCGAAGGCAGCCCCCUGGGCUAACACUGACGCUCAGGCACGAAAGCGUGGGGAGCAAACGGG
rnacentral:rRNA from 1 species